rnacentral:rRNA from 1 species
GAUGAACGCUGGCGGCGUGCCUAAUACAUGCCAGUCGAGCGAACAGACGAGGAGCUUGCUCCUCUGACGUUAGCGGCGGACGGGUGAGUAACACGUGGAUAACCUACCUAUAAGACUGGGAUAACUUCGGGAAACCGAAGCUAAUACCGGAUAAUAUAUUGAACCGCAUGGUUCAAUAGUGAAAGACGGUUUUGCUGUCACUUAUAGAUGGAUCCGCGCCGCAUUAGCUAGUUGGUAAGGUAACGGCUUACCAAGGCAACGAUGCGUAGCCGACCUGAGAGGGUGAUCGGCCACACUGGAACUGAGACACGGUCCAGACUCCUACGGGAGGCAGCAGUAGGGAAUCUUCCGCAAUGGGCGAAAGCCUGACGGAGCAACGCCGCGUGAGUGAUGAAGGUCUUCGGAUCGUAAAACUCUGUUAUUAGGGAAGAACAAAUGUGUAAGUAACUAUGCACGUCUUGACGGUACCUAAUCAGAAAGCCACGGCUAACUACGUG